AAAAGAACUUUGAAGAGAGAGUUCAACAGUACGUGAAACCGCCUAGAGGUAAACGGGUGGAUCCGCAAAGUCGGUCCGCGAAAUUCAGCUCGGAAGGCUGGUCGCAGGCGGUAGGUCGAGAUCUCUUGCGGACUCUCCUGCUGCUUGUACGCUGGCUUGACGUGUGCACUUUUCGCGGGCAGAGCGCCACGACCGGUUUUUGGGCAGUCAGAAGGCGGCGAGGAAGGUAAGUGGGCGCUUNGGCGUUUACUGUUAUAGCCUCGCCUGUCCCGAUCUGCUCGAAGACCGAGGAGCCGCCGCUUGGCAAUGGGCUAUCCUGCUCUCCUGGGGGGUUCGACAGGCAGAGACUGGGAAACCGUGUCUGCCGACCGCCUCUCUGGACGGACGGGGGUGCUUCGAGUCCGCCAAGCAAAGGGUCGGUGGCGAAUCGGUCGGCACUCCACCCGACCCGUCUUGAAA
rnacentral:rRNA from 1 species